GACGAACGCUGGCGGCGUGCUUAACACAUGCAAGUCGAGCGGAAAGGCUCCUUCGGGGGUACUCGAGCGGCGAACGGGUGAGUAACACGUGAGUAAUCUGCCCUUCACUUCGGGAUAGCUUCGGGAAACCGAGAUUAAUACCGGAUAUGACCAGUGCCUGCAUGGGUUGCUGGUGGAACGUUUUUUCUGUGUGGGAUGUGCUCGCGGCCUAUCAGCUUGUUGGUGGGGUAAUGGCCUACCAAGGCUUCUACGGGUAGCCGGCCUGAGAGGGUGCCCGGUCACACUGGGACUGAGACACGGCCCAGACUCCCACGGGAGGCAGCAGUGGGGAAGAUUGGACAAUGGGCGGAAGCCUGAUCCAGCAACGCCGCGUGAGGGAUGACGGCCUUAGGGUUGUAAACCUCUUUCAGCUCCGACGAAGCCUUGCCUUUGUGGGUGGGGUGACGGUAGGGGCAGAAGAAGGACCGGCCAACUACGUGCCAGCAGCCGCGGUAAUAC
rnacentral:rRNA from 1 species